UGGUUCUCCCCGAAAUAGCUUUAGGGCUAGCCUCAGGGAAAAGAUUGCAGGCGGUAGAGCACUGAUCAGGAGAGGGACCUACCCGGUUACCAAACCCAGUCAAACUCCGAAUGGCUGCAAUCAUACCUGGGAGUCAGACUGCGACUAAUAAGGGCCGUAGUCAAAAGGGAAACAGCCCAGACCAUCAGCUAAGGUCCCCAAUGCCGUGCUAAGUGGCGAAGGAUGUGGCAUUUCAUAAACAACCAGGAUGUUGGCUCAGAAGCAGCCACCAUUUAAAGAGUGCGUAAUAGCUCACUGGUCGAGAGACGCUGCGCCGAAAAUGUCCGGGGCUCAAGCACGGAACCGAAGCUAUGGCAUGAUAGCAAUAUCAUGGGUAGGGGAGCGUUCUUAUAAGGAAGAAGCAUGACCGGAAGGACAUGUGGACGAAUAAGAAGUGAGAAUGCCGGUAUGAGUAUCGAAAAGAAAGGUGAGAAUCCUUUCCACCGAAAGCCCGAGGGUUCCUGAGCAACGAUCGUCGACUCAGGGUAAGUCGGGACCUAAGCCGAGGCGAGAAGCGUAGGCGAUGGACAACAGGUUGAAAUUCCUGUACCGGAUCAAGUCGAUCGAGCGAAGGAGCGACGCAGGAGGGCACAUGAUCGCGCGGCUGGAAGAGCGCGUCCAAGUGCGUAUGUUGCAGCAGAGGAAAACCCCUGCAGCUAAAAGCAGAGACAUGAUGGGGAGUUAAAGGAAACUUUGACGAACUCAUGGAUCCCACACUGCCAAGAAAAACUUCUAGCGAGACAAGAUCCGCCCGUACCGUAAACCGACACAGGUAGGCGGGGAGAGAAUCCUAAGGUGCGCGGGAAAACCCUCGUUAAGGAACUCGGCAAAUUGCAUCCGUAACCUAGGGAGAAGGAUGGCCCCCUGUCAGUGAAGAGCAGAAACGCUCAGAGCUAAAAGGGGCGGCAGAAAAGAGGCCCAAGCAACUGUUUACCAAAAACACAGGUGCCUGCGAAAGCGAAAGCUGAAGUAUAGGUGCUGACGCCUGCCCGGUGCCGGAAGGUUAAGGAGAGGUGUGAGCGAAAGCGAAGCAUCGAACUGAAGCCCCGGUGAACGGCGGCCGUAACUAUAACGGUCCUAAGGUAGCGAAAUUCCUUGUCGGGUAAGUUCCGACCCGCAUGAAAGGCGUAAUGAUUUGGGCACUGUCUCAACGAGGGGCCCGGUGAAAUUGAAAUACCUGUGAAGAUGCAGGUUACCCGCGACUGGACAGAAAGACCCCAUGGAGCUUCACUGCAGCUUGAGAUUGAAUCCCGGUGACAGAUGCACAGGAUAGGUGGGAGGCGUCGAAGCAUUGCCCUAGGGCGGUGCGGAGCCGAUGUUGGGAUACCACCCUUCUGUUGCUGAGAUUCUAACGCGAGGAGUAACGACCCUGCGGACCCUCUCAGGCAGGCGGUUUGACUGGGGCGGUCGCCUCCGAAAGAGUAACG
rnacentral:rRNA from 1 species